UACGGAGGGUGCAAGCGUUAUCCGGAUUUACUGGGUUUAAAGGGUGCGUAGGCGGGUCUGUAAGUCAGUGGUGAAAUCUCUGGGCUUAACCCGGAAACUGCCAUUGAUACUAUAGGUCUUGAAUUAUCUGGAGGUAAGCGGAAUAUGUCAUGUAGCGGUGAAAUGCUUAGAUAUGACAUAGAACACCAAUUGCGAAGGCAGCAUACUGCGGAUACAUUGACACUGAGGCACGAAAGCGUGGGGAGCAAACAGG
rnacentral:rRNA from 1 species